GGGAGGGGACAGGUCAGGUCAGAAAGGCUGCUUGAGAAGACAAUGACCGUGGGGCAGAGGAUGAGAAGUCAGUCACAGAUCGGGGUGGGGUGGGGGAGAUAGUGGCAGAAGUCAUUUGAGAUAAAGGACUGCCAGCCAAAACACACAAUGAACUCUUCAAACUCUGCAGUAGGAAAACAAGCCACCCGAUUUAAAAUUUACAAAAUAUCUGGACAGACUCCUCACUGAAGCCGACGUACAGAGCCAAGAAAAGAUGAGCGCAUGAAAAGAUGCUCAGCCUCAUGCAUUGUCAGGGAAUUGGAAUUAAGGCAACCAUGAGACAGCACUGCCCUCCGGCUAGGAUGGCCAAAACCCUAAACCCGAUAACUCUAAAUGCUGGCGAGGACCUGGGCCACAGGACCUCCUGUCCAUUGUUGGUGGGAAUGCUACAGCCACCGAGGAACGCAAGUUGGCCGUUUCUUACAGAACGAAAUUCUUACUGUAUAAUCCAGCAAUCCCACUCCUUAGUAUUUACCCAAGUGAGUUGAAAACUCCCAUCCACCCAAGAGCCUGCACAGGAUUGUUGGUAGCAACUUUCCCCAUAACUGCCAAAACCUGGCCACAAACAAGCUCUCCUUCGAUAGGUGAACAGCAGGAAGAGCUGUUAGUAACCGCCUCACUGAAUGCUUACCCUGUGCCAGGCACCAAGCCGAAUGCUGCACGCGCACCUCCCUGCGAGCUAGGGCCGACGUGUGCUCCGGACUCCACCCCCACGAUGGAAUCACCUGCCCGCCUUCCCACAGAGAGCAGGCGCUGGAGUCAGGAGCUGACCUCAAGCCCUCUGCCCCCAAGGCGGUGCUCGAACCUUGUAUCCUUCCACCUUCCGCUGGACGCCUGCACAAAGGACAUGGACAUUUUUUUGGCCAGAGAAGAGCUGGGACUUUGUAGACUUGGGGGCCAGAGAUAAGAGAAGAGCUCAAGUUCCAAAGGACAGCUGUUCGGCUGAUGACCCAGGGGGACCGUCUCCGCUGCAGGCAAGAGAGGCAGAGGCAGCGCCAUCUGCCAGGGGCUUCCCCAGCACACGGAGGGUGGCUGCCCGGAACUCCCAGCAGCUGCUCCGAAAUCAGCAAGGCAAGGAGGGCUCCGGCGGCUGGGGCCACCUCCCUAACAACUUAGCCCACGCUGCGGACGGCACAUCAAGGAGCUGGAGAAACAGUCUUUCCUGAUGGUCCUGCCCAAUGAACAGGAUGUCCCUCGAUGCUGGGAGACACCUUGCAACCAUGGCCAAAGUCAGCCUUACUUUGAAUAGAUGGUACAGAGGCCAAGGAGGAAAAAGGAAACUGGAGACUCUAAACAGAUCGUGGGAGCCUACAUUACCUUCAAAGCCAUCAGUUGUGUGCACAGUCCCCUCUACGGUUGAAACCACACUGAGUUCCCAAUUACCUGCAAAGGGGAACCGCCUCCCUGAAACAAGGGAACCUCUCAUUCUGGCUGCACGUCAGUUACUUCCGAUUCUACCGCGGAGUUAAGUGAGGUAUGAUUACACUUCCUUCCGUGUGCAGAAGUGUGUUUGUUUUCAAAAUUAAUUAUUAUUUUCACUUGCACAUCUUUCCAAAUACAUAUCCUUAAUUCUUUCUCUAUACUCACCCAAACCCCUCAUUUACUCUAGACUGGUGCCCCCCUUCCCCAUCAACUUGGUCUUCACUGCUGUGUGAAGUCAAAUCCCCUGUCUCUUGGAUCCCAUAACUCCCUGCUUUUUUAACUAUGUAGAGCAUUUACUAGAACAUUUCUUGGUGCUUUCUUUGAAAGAGUUUCCCAUAGGCAAAUUGUCUAUGGAUGAGUGAAAGAACCUUAAUUCUGCCCUCAUACAUGACUGGUAGCCUAGCAGGGUAUAAAACUCGAAGUUACACUCUUCUAUUCUGCAAGGUUUUUGCUGGGUUUGUUCAGUUAGUGUCUGGUACUGUGUUGGUCCUGAGAAGUCUGGGGUCAUUCUGCUUCUAUUCUUUGUGCAUGACCUCUCUCUCAUUAUUUUACUCCUUGAGAACUUUUAGGGAACUUCUGAGUCCUGGGUCCUAAAAUGUUUCUGUGAUACACCUUGACAUGGGUCUUCUCUCGUUGCAACAAGUCCCCUGUGAAACUUUCCAAUUGGAGUCCAAUGUCCUUUAUUUUGAAAAGCUUUUCCUUAGAUUCUUUUUGUUCUGCCUUUAAUUCCCUUGACUUUUUCCUCCACCCAUUUCUUAAAAAUUUUAGCUGUGAUUUUUAUUUCUACGAACUUCUUACAGUGUCUUAUUUGUGUUUUAUAGAACCAAUACCUUCUAAGAGAUGCAAAGGUCCUCAAUAAAAUUCUGGCAGACCAAAUUCAAUAGUACAUUCAAAGGAUUAUACACAUAACCAUGUCAGAUUUACCUGAGAUAUGCAAAGUUGGCUCAACAUAUACAAAUCUAUAGAUGUGAAACAUCAUAUUAACAGAGUGAAGGAAUCACAAAAUAGUCUCAACAGAGCCAGAAAAAGCACUUGAUGUUGACUAAAUUCAACAUCUAAUCAUAUUAACAAUAAUAACUCGACAAAAUAAGCAUAGAAGGAAUGUGCCUCAACAUGAUAGAGACCAUAUAAGACUCCCAAAGAUAACAUAAUAAUCAGUGGGAGAAACUGAAAGAGUUUCCUGUAAUAUAUUGUACAAGACAAAGAUACCUACUCUCACCAUUUAUCUUCAGUUUAAUACUGAAAGUCCUAGCCAGAGCAGUUAGAGAAGAAAAAAAAAGCACUUCAAUUAGGAACAAAGAAAUACAAUUUUGUGUUCAUCUGACAUGAUUAUUGAUGAAGAAACCACUAAAAAGUCAACAAAAAAUGCUCAGAACUAAUAGGUAAAUUCAAUAAAGUUGCAGGACACAAAAUCAAUGUACAAAAGGUAGUAGUACUUCUAUUCACUAACAAUGAAGUAUCUGGAAAAGAAAGUUACAAAAACAAUCCCACUUACCAUAUCAUCAAAAAGAAUAAAAUACUCAGGAAUAAACUUAAUAAAAUAGGUAGAAGAGUUUUACACUGGCAAUUAUAAAAUAUUGAUGAAGGAAUUUAAAGAAGAUUCAGAUAAAUGGAAGAGCACCCUGUGUUCAUGGACUGGAAGAAUUUAUAUUGUCAAAUGUCUGUAUUCCCCAAAGGGAAUACACAGAUCAAACAUAGUCCCUAUCAAAAUCUCAAUGGCAUUCUCUACAGAAACAGAAAAAAGCAUGUUAAAAUUCAUAUGAGGCCGGCACCGUGGCUCAAUAGGCUAAUCCUCCGCCUGCGGCGCCGGCACACCGGGUUCUAGUCCCAGUCGGGGCGCCGAUUCUGUCCCGGUUGCCCCUCUUCCAGGCCAGCUCUCUGCUGUGGCCCAGAAGUGCAGUGGUGGAUGGCCCAAGUCCUUGGGCCCUGCACCCGCACGGAUACCAGGAGAAACACCUGGCUUCUGGCUUCGGAUCAGUGUGGUGCGCUGGCCACAGUGUGCUGGAUGCAGCAGCCAUUGGAGGGUGAACCAACGGUAAAGGAAGACCUUUCUCUCUGUCUCUCUUUCUCACUGUCCACUCUGCCUGUCAAAAAAAAUUUAUAUGAAACUACAAAAUAUUUUAAAUACCCAAAACAUUCUUUGGCAUGGACAAAGGUAGAAUCAACACAUUCACUGUCUUCAAAAUACAGCACAAAGCUACAAUGAGUAAAACAGGACAGUACUGGCAAUAUAAACAGACAUUAUAGGCCAAUGAACCAGGAGAGAGAACCCAGAAAUAAGCUCAUGCAUUUACAGGGUGCCUACAAUGCACAGCAGGGAAAGGACUGUGUCUUAAACAAACCACAUUCGGAAAACUGUACAUCCACAUGCAGAUGAGUUAAAUUAGAUCCUUGUCUCACACCAUACACAAAACUCAAAAUGGACUAAAGACAUAAGAUCUAAAACUGCAAAAGUGCUAGAAGAAAAUACAGGGGAAAAAACUUCUUGAUAUUAGUCCUUUUUUUAUUUGACCCCAAGAGCGCAGACAACAAAAGCAAAAGUAGGCAAAUGGGAUUGCAUUAAACCAUCAAGUAUCUGCACAGUGAAGGAAACAACUAAUACAACCUAAGGAAUGGGAGAAAAGACAUGAACAUCAUGUAUCUAAUAAGGGGCUGAUAUCCAAAAUACAUAAAGAACUCAUACAGCUCUACAGCAAG